AGUGUUCAUGCCAUGGGGAGGACAGAGGAUUUGCAGAGCCAGGAAGUGCAAAGGGGAGGGGGAAGUUGUCUCUAUGCUUAGUUGUCAAGGACCUUUCACUGGGAUGGGUUCGGGAUGUGGGGUAGCUCUGCUCAUCUGGUGUUGGGACCAGUAUGUCUUCUGGUGGAAACUGUUGAGUCUAGAUGGAGAGAGCAGGAUGUUGGGCUUUUCUGUUGUUAUGGGUAACAGACAGAUUUAUUGUUGGGUUAUCUUCCUACCGGGUGGCUUGGUUUGGUGGUGGUGGGAUUUCUGUGUGCUGGGAUGACGGAAGGCACAUGAAGGGAGUUCUGCAGAGCACUGUGCUGGGCUGAGCUUCCCAUGCUCUGCUCCCAGGGAGACCAGGGACUGCAGUAUCUGGGAAGAAUCAUCUCUCCUUAGCUGAGGCUCUUGCCUGGAGGUUGCCUUCUGCUUGUCUGUCCUGAAUGUGAUUAGAGCAGGCCAUCUCUGUGGUGAAAACUGGAUAGAGAGAAGGCAGAGUUGGGUGAGGGGCACCGUGCCUAGCAGUGUGCCAGGGAGGCUGACUCUUGGUAUGGUUCAGUCUAUCAGGGUACGUGAUGCUGUGGACCUCAGAGCCCCAGAACUGCCCCUGCACCCUCUAGGGGCAAGAGUGCCUCACCCUCAGUGUUUCGUGCUGCUGCCCUGGCCUGAUUAGCUCCAUCCUGUGCUCCAUGCCCUGUCUUCCUCUACUGUGGGGCUCAGCAGCAAUCCUGAAGUAGAGCUGCCUUGCCAGCAAGUCCCCUCCACAGUGGCUGCAUGGGACCAGAAAAACAGCAGAGUCCUGGCCUUCCUGUUAGCCGUGGGCUAACGUGUCAGAAGACUUGCCAGCCUUUUACAAGGGGGCUUGGGUUACAGACGUGCAGGGCUGCAGGGCUGGGAUGGAACCAAGGGGCAGUGGGCAGAAAGAGCCUGGGGUCCUCCUGCAGCCCAGGCAAAGGGCUGUGGGUACAUCCCCUCAGCCCGGUUCUUCAUGUCAUGGGCAGAUGGGCAUUCCUCAGCCCCUGCCCUGGUGCGUCCCUGCACAGCGCAUGGGGCAGAGGAGAGUCACAGAGCAUCCCUCCCAGGGUCUCGACCUUGUGUAGUCCAUGACAGUCCUGCAGGACAGAAGUGUCAUUCCUUCUGGAAGGUGCUCAAAAGCAAACGUUAAACAAUCUUUAGAGCAUGAGGGGACAUCUGGACCCAUUGGUGCAGUUAAGGGAUCCUGCUGACACUUGGGGUCUUCCUUGGACCUUCAUGGGAGCUGGGAGCUGAGCCAAGUGAUGGAGAGGUGCUGGCAGGGCUGGUGGUGGAGGCCCUCCUGAAGGAAAACUAACUGCUGCCACUCAUCCCUGCAGACUGCUUGUAAGGGACCCACAGCCCAUUCCAGGGCACUGCUUUGGAGCAGAAGCCUGUAAUGCAUGUAUCCAUGCCAUGAUCUGUAGCCCUGUGGGACGGAUUCCACAGACAAUCGGGUGCUUGUUCCUGGAAACAGAGCCUACAAAUUCUCUCUUCCUGAGGGGCAUAACUAGGCUGGAACAGGAGGAGAUCCUGUGGGAGACGGUUUCCUCCAGAGGAAAGGUGAGCACUGCAGAAUGGCAGGUGAAUGCAAUCGUUUGGGAAGGAGUGAAGAGGGGAUGCAGCUCCUCUUAUUCCCUCCUUAGAGGGAUCUCCAGCUGCCCCUGGCUGUAGCAGCAGCUCUGUUGAUCCUGGCAGCCGUGCAGUAACCCAGUGGCAUGUGUUCAUUUGUUAGUGUGGGGAAUCAGCAGCAACAUUGACUGAAAAAGGCAAUGCAAGCCCUGCCAAGAAUUCUGCUGUGCAGCGAGAUCCCUAUGGCAGUGCCAGAGGUGUGCCCAGCCCGGCUCUGAAGGAGAAGGGCCUGUGGGCCAGGAAGCACGGCUGUGGAGCAGCGGAGGGAGAGACAAAGUCCUUCAGUGCCGCAAGUAAAGCCUUUCCGUCUCUCUCUGGAGCUGGAGCUCUCGGUCUGCACAGGAGUGAAUCCUGAGCUCCUUGGCUCAGCUUAGCAGUGCUGGUGGCUAUGGAGUGAGUGGUACAGGUGGUGUUCCAGGUGCACAGCAGGAGGCUGGAGCUGGCUGCCCAAGCCCCGAUGCUCCCUGUCCUCGUGCUCUUUGCAGCUCGUGUGCCUCACCUC